UGGCUUAGCAGUUAGAGCAUACGGUUCAUAAUCGUUAGGAUGUGAGUUCGAUUCCCGC
rnacentral:tRNA from 1 species